rnacentral:rRNA from 1 species
UCUAAUACCGGAUGAUACCCGGGGGCGCAUGCCCCUGGGUUGAAAGCUCCGGCGGUGCAGGAUGAGCCCGCGGCCUAUCAGCUUGUUGGUGGGGUGAUGGCCUACCAAGGCGACGACGGG